GAUGAACGCUGGCGGCGUGCCUAAUACAUGCAAGUCGAGCGAACAGAUGAGGAGCUUGCUCCUCUGACGUUAGCGGCGGACGGGUGAGUAACACGUGGAUAACCUACUUAUAAGACUGGGAUCACUUCGGGAAACCGGAGCUAAUACCGGAUAAUAUAUUGAACCGCAUGGUUCAAUAGUGAAAGACGGUUUUGCUGUCUCUUAUAGAUGGAUCCGCGCCGCAUUGGCUAGUUGGUAAGUUCAACGCUUAUCACGGCAACGAUGCGUAGCCGACCGGAGGGGGUGAUCGGCCACACUGGAAGUGAGACACGGACCAUACUCCUACGGGAGGCAGCAGUAGGGAAUCUUCCGCAGUGGGCGGAAGCCUGACGGAGCAGCGCCGCGUGAGAGAUGAAGGUCUUCGGAUCGUAAUACUCUGUUAUUAGGGAAGAACAAAUGUGUAAGUAACUAUGCACGUCUUGACGGUACCGAAUCAGAAAGCCACGGCUAACUACGUG
rnacentral:rRNA from 1 species